rnacentral:rRNA from 1 species
GAUGAACGCUGGCGGCGUGCCUAAUACAUGCAAGUCGAGCGAACGGACGAGAAGCUUGCUUCUCUGAUGUUAGCGGCGGACGGGUGAGUAACACGUGGAUAACCUACCUAUAAGACUGGGAUAAUUUCGGGAAACCGUAGCUAAUACCGGAUAAUAUUUUGAACCGCAUGGUUCAAUAGUGAAUGUCGGUCUUGCUGUCUGUUAUAGCUGGAUCCGCGCUGCAUUAGCUGGUUGGUAAGGUAACGGCUUACCAAGGCGACGAUGCGUAACCGACGUGAGGGGGUGAUAGGCCACACGGGAAGUGAGACACGGUCCAUACUCCUACGGGAGGCAGCAGUAGGGAAUCUUCCGCAAUGGGCGAAAGCCUGACGGAGCAACGCCGAGUGAGUGAUGACGGUCUUCGGAUCGUAAAACUCUGUUAUUAGGGAAGAACAUAUUUGUAAGUAACUGUGCACAUCUUGACGGUACCUAAUCAAAAAGCCACGGCUAACUACGUG